GAUGAACGCUGGCGGCGUGCCUAAUACAUGCAAGUCGAGCGAACGGACGAGAAGCUUGCUUCUCUGAUGUUAGCGGCGGAGGGGUGAGUAACACGUGGAUAACCUACCUAUAAGACUGGGAUAACUUCGGGAAACCGGAGCUAAUACCGGAUAAUAUUUUGAACCGCAUGGUUCAAAAGUGAAAGACGGUCUUGCUGUCACUUAUAGAUGCAUCCCCGCUGCUUUAGCUGGUUGGUAAGGUAACGGCUUAUCAAGGCAACGAUGCAUAGCCGACCUGAGAGGCUGGUCGGCCACCCUGGAACUGAGCCGCGGUCCAGACUCCUACGGGAGGCAGCAGUAGGGAAUCUUACGCAAUGGGCGAAAGCCUGACGGAGCAACGCCGAGUGAGUGAUGAAGGUCUUCGGAUCGUAAAACUCUGUUAUUAGGGAAGAACAUAUGUGUAAGUAACUGUGCACAUCUUGACGGUACCUAAUCAGAAAGCCACGGCUAACUACGUG
rnacentral:rRNA from 1 species